GACCCGUUAGCUCAGCUGGAUAGAGCACGAUGCUACGGACGUCGGGGUCGGGAGUUCGAAUCUCUCACGGGUCA
rnacentral:tRNA from 4 species